rnacentral:rRNA from 1 species
UACGUAGGGUGCAAGCGUUGUCCGGAAUUAUUGGGCGUAAAGAGCUCGUAGGCGGUCUGUCGCGCUGCUGUGAAAACUCAGGGCUUAACCCUGAGCUUGCAGUGGGGUACGGGGCAGACUAGAGUGGCGGUAGGGGAGACUGGAAUUCCUGGUGUAGCGGUGAAAUGCGCAGAUAUCAGGAGGGAACACCCGGUGGGCGAAGGC